GAAUUUAAAAUGAACCCUAUCCAAAUCACUUAUCCACUUGGUCGACAACCACUUACAUUUUUUGAGCAACCGAGGCCCUACACCCUCAAAACCGUUAGAAAAGAAUGAUCACUAACUCCUCGGUUAUUACCUGCAUUCCGGUUGAAACCCCUAUUAACAGUAAUUCACAUGAACAGUUCAAACCAAAUCGAAUAUCAAACUUACGAAAGCACAGAACCGCGUAAAGGGGAUGGGUCAAUUGAAAAAAAAUAAAACCAAAAAGAAAAGAAACCAAGGUAACCACAAUUCGACAAAGAGCAGAAAUGCAAAGAACAACAGCAACGAGGAAAGAAAGAGAUGCACCAAGAGGGAAGCACAAGAAGAAAAAUAAUCGGUAAAAGAGGAGGAAAGAA
rnacentral:lncRNA from 1 species